AUGCCACCAGGGGUCUCUUCAGACACCCCAUACAUACCCAACAAGACAUGCCACUAGGGGUCUCUUCAGACACCCCAUACAUACCCAACAAGACAUGCCACAAGGGGUCUCUUCAGACACCCCAUACAUACCCAACAAGACAUGCCACCAGGGGUCUCUUCAGACACCCCAUACAUACCAAACAAGACAUGCCACCAGGGGUCUCUUCACAGUCCCAAAGUCCAAAAGGAAUUCAUGGCAACUCACAGUAUUAUUAAACAGAGACACGAUCACAUAUAACUAACUCCCUUCCAUCUUCUGUUAGGCAGCAAACAGCAGAAUGACCUUUAAACACUGAUUAAACAACAACUCAUAGAACAGACUGUGAGGACACAGACACACACACACUCUAAUACACACAGGCACACACACUCUAAUACACACAGACACACACACUCUAAUACACACAGACACACACACACUCUAAUACACACUCUAAUACACACAGACACACACACUCUAAUACACACAGACACACACACUCUAAUACACACAGACACACACACACUCUAAUACACACAGACACACACACUCUAAUACACACAGACACUCUAAUACACACACACACACACACUAAUACACACGGACACACACACAAACACACUCUAUAUAUUAUAUAUUAUAUUAUUAUUAUUAAUACACACAGACACACACACACACACACACACUCUAAUACACACAGACACACACACACUCUAAUACACACAGACACACACACACACUAAUACACACAGACACACACACACACUAAUACACACAGACACACACACACACACACUAAUACACACAGACACACACACACACUCUAAUACACACAGACACACACACACACUAACACACACACACACACACACACACACACACACACACCCUAACACACACACACACACCCCACAACACACACACACACACACACUCUGACACACACACACACACACACACACACUACAUGUAUUUACAUGCGUCUCGAUGCACUGAAUUGCACAAGCUUGUGAGAGGUAGAGGUAGAGGUAGAGGUAGCUUUUUGAGAACCAGAACCAGGUUCUUUUGCUUUAUGGUGCACAAAAAAGCUACAUCUCCACGUAACAUCGCUGUAAUGUAAAGGUUGACAUAACAUCACUGUAAUGUAAAGGUUGACGUAACAUCGCUGUAAUGUAAAGGUUGCCGUAACAUCGCUGUAAUGUAAAGGUUGCCGUAACAUCGCUGUAAUGUAAAGGUUGCCAUAACAUCGCUGUAAUGUAAAGGUUGCCAUAACAUCGCUGUAAUGUAAAGGUUGCCAUAACAUCGCUGUAAUGUAAAGGUUGCCAUAACAUCGCUGUAAUGUAAAGGUUGCCAUAACAUCGCUGUAAUGUAAAGGUUGCCAUAACAUCGCUGUAAUGUAAAGGUUGCCGUAACAUCGCUGUAAUGUAAAGGUUGACGUAACAUCGCUGUAAUGUAAAGGUUGCCGUAACAUCGCUGUAAUGUAAAGGUUGACAUAACAUCGCUGUAAUGUAAAGGUUGCCGUAACAUCGCUGUAAUGUAAAGGUUGACGUAACAUCGCUGUAAUGUAAAGGUUGCCAUAACAUCGCUGUAAUGUAAAGGUUGACAUAACAUCGCUGUAAUGUAAAGGUUGACAUAACAUCGCUGUAAUGUAAAGGUUGACAUAACAUCGCUGUAAUGUAAAGGUUGACAUAACAUCGCUGUAAUGUAAAGGUUGACAUAACAUCGCUGUAAUGUAAAGGUUGACAUAACAUCGCUGUAAUGUAAAGGUUGACAUAACAUCGCUGUAAUGUAAAGGUUGACAUAACAUCGCUGUAAUGUAAAGGUUGACAUAACAUCGCUGUAAUGUAAAGGUUGCCGUAACAUCGCUGUAAUGUAAAGGUUGACGUAACAUCGCUGUAAUGUAAAGGUUGCCGUAACAUCGCUGUAAUGUAAAGGUUGACAUAACAUCGCUGUAAUGUAAAGGUUGACAUAACAUCGCUGUAAUGUAAAGGUUGACAUAACAUCGCUGUAAUGUAAAGGUUGACGUAACAUCGCUGUAAUGUAAAGGUUGCCGUAACAUCGCUGUAAUGUAAAGGUUGCCGUAACAUCGCUGUAAUGUAAAGGUUGACAUAACAUCGCUGUAAUGUAAAGGUUGACGUAACAUCGCUGUAAUGUAAAGGUUGACGUAACAUCGCUGUAAUGUAAAGGUUGCCAUAACAUCGCUGUAAUGUAAAGGUUGCCGUAACAUCGCUGUAAUGUAAAGGUUGCCGUAACAUCGCUGUAAUGUAAAGGUUGCCGUAACAUCGCUGUAAUGUAAAGGUUGCCGUAACAUCGCUGUAAUGUAAAGGUUGACAUAACAUCACUGUAAUGUAAAGGUUGACAUAACAUCGCUGUAAUGUAAAGGUUGCCAUAACAUCGCUGUAAUGUAAAGGUUGCCGUAACAUCGCUGUAAUGUAAAGGUUGCCAUAACAUCGCUGUAAUGUAAAGGUUGACAUAACAUCGCUGUAAUGUAAAGGUUGACGUAACAUCGCUGUAAUGUAAAGGUUGCCAUAACAUCGCUGUAAUGUAAAGGUUGCCGUAACAUCGCUGUAAUGUAAAGGUUGCCGUAACAUCGCUGUAAUGUAAAGGUUGCCAUAACAUCGCUGUAAUGUAAAGGUUGCCAUAACAUCGCUGUAAUGUAAAG